GGUAGAUGAUUGAGGGGGGAUCCUGCUGUGACACCCGCCAGCUCCUUCGGUGCCCUGGGACGAAUCCCGUCCGGCCCCGCGGACUCGUGGACGUUCAACUGGUAUAACUGGUCCCUUGCGAUUUCAAAUGGAAAAUCACUGCCCUCGCAGCCGUGACCGUCCCAACUCCGUUUGACACCCUUGGGCACACAGAUAAGCCGGCGGUGCUUGGCAGUGCCGGGGCGGUUGUGGGAAGGCGGGUGACCGGAGAAGGGCAGCGGAAGCAGCUAAAAGCAUGGAGGACAUCCGGAGAGACGAGUGCUCGCGGGACUCUGACGGUCUGAGUGGACCCGCUCGCCCCGAGGACAAGAGGAUGCUCGGCGUGGCUUUCGGCAUCGGGGUCCUACUGGCCCUGGUGGGCGGCACGGCCGCCCACGGCUGCGCCGCCCCGAAGGAGCUGGUCUCCGAGAUGCUGCAGCGCCUGGAGGAGUCCGUCAAGGCGGACGAGCUGCCGAACCCCAGCGUCCUGCUGGCCAUGAACCUGGUCGGGGCCACCGGCACUGAGACCAACAAGUGGCUGCUCCAGCAGAUACAGCUGGAGGCCGUGAAGAGAGCCCAGAAAGACAUGACUUCGGGAGAGGUGGCUCUGUACGUGCUCGCCCUCUUCUCCUCCUGCCAGAACCCCCGGCACGUCCAUGCCCUAGGGCAGACCAUCAACCUGCUCCAAGUCCUGCAGGAGAAAACGGACGAGGAGAUGGCCAGCCUGGACUUGGAGGGCGUCCCGAAGACCACCCUGUACAGCGUCAGCCUGGACGCCCUGGCCCUGUGCCUGGCAGAAGUAGGUGGCUACCAAGGGGCAUCCGUGAUCCUGGCCAAGCGGGUGCUGACACCCGAGAGCCACCUCUCUGUGGACACCCGUGCCGUGGCGGCGAUGGCGAUGGCGUGCGCGUACGGCCGGACGGACCUCUACGACGUGCAGGAACUGCUCCAGGAGGCACUGUGGGUGGUGACCAACGGCUUCCUCGACGAGCAGGAGAAAGAGGGUGGCACGAUCGGGAAUAUCUACAGUAUGGGGCUGGCCCUGCAGGUGCUGGGGGCCACGAGCAAGUUUUACUUGCCGCGGGAGUGGGAUUGCGCCCAGGCUUUCUCCGUGGUGUACAGCCAUGACUACCGCCAGCCCACGGCCAUCGCCCAGGUCCUGCCUGCCCUCGUGGGCAUGUCGUACCUGGAUGCGGCCAGCCUGGACUGCGCCGCCAGCGCCGGCGCGUCCCCGACCCGACAGCCGUCCCUGUCCCCAAAGCUGGGUACGACCGCGGCUCCCGGUAGCCGCCAUCACGGUGCACUACUCCAUCGUCAACGAGCUGCAGGGAAGGCACUUCAGGUACACCACCUCGGUGCAGGUCCCGGUCGGCUCCACGCUGCUCAAGGUGCUGCAGGCGGCGGCGGCGAAGAAACCCGACAUCUUUAGCUUCCAGACGGAGCAGACGUCCUGGGGCCCCAUGGUGGUCUCCAUCCACGGGCUGGCCGCCAACCCGGACGACAAGACCUACUGGAAGUUCCUCAGCGGCGCGGAUGCCCUCCAAGAAGGGGUCGGCACCUACAAGCCGUGGAACGGGGAGCACAUCCAGGCUGUCUUCAGCCUCUACUGAUGUCGCCGAGGGACGCUUGGCCCCGCCGGGCCCACCGUGGCGGCAAUAAAGAGCCAUUUGCAGCGCA